UACGGGAGGCAGCAGUGGGGAAUAUUGGACAAUGGGCGAAAGCCUGAUCCAGCAAUGCCGCGUGAGUGAUGAAGGCCUUAGGGUUGUAAAGCUCUUUUACCCGGGAUGAUAAUGACAGUACCGGGAGA
rnacentral:rRNA from 1 species